UUACAUUCUAUUUUUAAUUUUUUGUUUUUUAAACACUAGGUGGAUGUUUCUUUUUUCUUUCUUUCUCAUGAACAUGAACUAUAGCGUGGGACUGGGGGCGGAGAAACCAGCGUGAACUAAACUAAUGAACCUAAACAUGAAACAUGACAUGAACUAUGACUAUGAAUUGAACCAUGAAACUAUAAACUGUGACUUUGGUUCUCUAUCGUAAGGACACUCAACUAAUCUACUACAACUCAAUAUUCCGCGCUGUGUGCUGGGAGGUGCGCGGUAUAUAUACAAACAUAAUCAGCCUCGUAAUGGCUGAUGGCUGAGGGCGAUUCAGACACACGUGAAACAACAACCAAUGACAGAACGGGGAGGAGACAUAACAGAAACAUAACAAAUGCACGUGUCGAAAUGUCACGAUUGUCAACAAGGGAAAAGCAGGUGCACCUGCUCGUGCACGCGCGCUCACAUGCUCCACAGCGUGCUGCUUAAAGGGGAAUUCAUGACAGAACUUGGUCGGCCGUGUCGGUAGACUCGGGCUUGAGCAGAACUUGGUCGGCCGUGUCAGUAGACUUGGGCUUGAGCAGGGCUUGGUUGUCCUGGUUAACAGACACUUGGGACAGUAACUGGGCUUUGCAGUGGAAGAGCAGUAGAAUGCUUCCUGGAGACCCAGUUUUUUGCAGGUAGGGCAUUGUAGCUUGGUCUCCCUCCUGCAGCCCUCAGACAUGCAUGUCAGUGCCACCUCCUCCACAUUGGCUGGAACCUGAAGCAGUUCGGUGGAGGCUGACCUGUCAAUCCCCUCAUAAUAGAGCUUAAAGGGCAGGUCAGGCUGGGGCUGUCCAUUGACUCUCCACCCCAGUAAAUCCAGACCAUGAAGCUGCCCUGGCUGCGUGAACUCCUCCAUAAAAAGUUCUGCAAAUUGAGUGACAUCCUGGAGGGCAGAGGACUCUGCUCACCAGCUGCUUCGCCCAGUCACGGGCCGGUCCGCAAAACCUGGACACCAAGAACCCGAUCCACUGUCUCUUAGUAGGCUUGGGAUACGCCAGGCUGCAGAAAUAUUCCUGGCAGCUGAAGAGGAACUCCAGCGGGUAGCUGCUCAAUCCCGCUGUCUCUGGCGGCAGUUCAACGGCGUACCGUUGAGGGAACUGCACGGACAAGAAAUCUGAGCCUGUGCUGUCUCUGCCUUGCUGUGUGAGGUGGCAGAAUGUGGAGGAGGAGAGAUGGAGUUUGAUGUUGCACUUGGUCAAGAGAAGCUGACUGAAACAAGCCUACAGCUUACACACCUACUGCCAGCUGGGUAUAUACCGGUGCUGAUGGAGGACCGGCAGAGCGAGGCGGUGUACCUAGAGAUCAGUCCUCUUUUCCUCCAGGCCGAGAACAAACACAAACUCUUCCAGUUCGUCUCGCAGUUCCUCUAAGGCUGACGCAGGAGAAACACACGUCUACACCGCUCUAGGUUUAGUUACAAAAUAUCAGUGUUUCUGGUAAUUCGCUUGGAGCAAGAUGUGUUCUUGAACGUGGACCUUUAAAAACUGCAUUUGGUUUCUCUCUUUCUUAUGAAUGUAGUUAGGAAAUGUUUGUUGUGGUUUUCAGUUUUGCACUGAAGCUAUGAGCUUAAUGUGCUGUAACUAACAAGUAAAGCUUAUAUCUAGCGGUUUAGCAUCAUGAAACCUAAAGCAUUAUGCCUUUACUACUAGCAGCUAAAAAUUCUUUAUUUGUAUAGAUAGAUUUCUAAACCAGU